GAUGAAGAACGUAGCGAAAUGCGAUAAGUAAUGUGAAUUGCAGAAUUCAGUGAAUCAUCGAAACUUUGAACGCACCUUGCACCCUUUGGUAUUCCGAAGGGUAUGCUCGUUUGAGUGUCAUUGUACUCUCACACUUCUAAUUCCUUUCGGGAUUGGGAGCGGUGGACUUGGGUGUUGCUGCUUUAGUUGUGGCUCACCUCAAAUAAGUUAGUGCAACUCUUGGUUGGACAUAGUACGGCGUGAUAAGUGUCUUCGCCGGCGCCUCUGUAAGGAGGGUGGCCGAUCGGGAGCUCUGUGCUUCAAACCGUCUUCGGACAAUCUUUGACAACUUGACCUCAAAUCGAGUAGGACUACCCGCUGAACUUAAGCAUAUCAAUAAGCGGAGGA
rnacentral:misc_RNA from 1 species